rnacentral:tRNA from 1 species
GAGGGUAUAGCUCACCUCGUAGAGCGCACAUGCUUAGCAUGCAUGAGGUCCUGGGUUCAGUUCCCAGUGCCUCCA